UCUGGCAGUGACGACACACUUGCCCUCACUGAGAACAACGUUCACUGAGGAGAGCGGUUUCAUGCGCUCAGUGGAGCCGAGCCAGA